GAUGAAGAACGUAGCGAAAUGCGAUAAGUAAUGUGAAUUGCAGAAUUCAGUGAAUCAUCGAAUCUUUGAACGCACAUUGCGCCCCCUGGUAUUCCGGGGGGCAUGCCUGUUCGAGCGUCAUUUCACCACUCAAGCCUCGCUUGGUAUUGGGCAACGCGGUCCGCCGCGUGCCUCAAAUCGUCCGGCUGGGUCUUCUGUCCCCUAAGCGUUGUGGAAACUAUUCGCUAAAGGGUGUUCGGGAGGCUACGCCGUAAAACAACCCCAUUUCUAAGGUUGACCUCGGAUCAGGUAGGGAUACCCGCUGAACUUGAGCAUAUCAAUAAGCGGAGGA
rnacentral:misc_RNA from 1 species